rnacentral:rRNA from 1 species
GAUGAACGCUGGCGGCGUGCUUAACACAUGCAAGUCGAACGGUGAACGGGGAGCUUGCUCCCUCCGGAUCAGUGGCGAACGGGUGAGUAACACGUGAGCAAUCUGCCCUGGACUCUGGGAUAAGCGUUGGAAACGACGUCUAAUACCGGAUACGAGGCGUGGGGGCAUCCCCAACGCCUGGAAAGAACUUCGGUCCAGGAUGAGCUCGCGGCCUAUCAGCUUGUUGGUGAGGUAACGGCUCACCAAGGCGACGACGGGUAGCCGGCCUGCGAGGGUGACCGGCCACACUGGGACUGAGACACGGCCCAGACUCCUACGGGCGGCAGCAGUGGGGAAUAUUGCACAAUGGGCGCAAGCCUGAUGCAGCAACGCCGCGUGAGGGACGACGGCCUUCGGGUUGUAAACCUCUUUUAGCAGGGAAGAAGCGAAAGUGACGGUACCUGCAGAAAAAGCACCGGCUAACUUCGUGCCAGCCGCCGCUGUAACAC